UUGGAAGUAAAAAAUCGUAACAAGGUCUCCGUAGGUGAACCUGCGGAGGGAUCAUUACACAAAUAUGAAGGCGGGCUGGAACCUCUCGGGGUUACAGCCUUGCUGAAUUAUUCACCCUUGUCUUUUGCGUACUUCUUGUUUCCUUGGUGGGUUCGCCCACCACUAGGACAAACAUAAACCUUUUGUAAUUGCAAUCAGCGUCAGUAACAAAUUAAUAAUUACAACUUUCAACAACGGAUCUCUUGGUUCUGGCAUCGAUGAAGAACGCAGCGAAAUGCGAUAAGUAGUGUGAAUUGCAGAAUUCAGUGAAUCAUCGAAUCUUUGAACGCACAUUGCGCCCUUUGGUAUUCCAAAGGGCAUGCCUGUUCGAGCGUCAUUUGUACCCUCAAGCUUUGCUUGGUGUUGGGCGUCUUGUCUCUAGCUUUGCUGGAGACUCGCCUUAAAGUAAUUGGCAGCCGGCCUACUGGUUUCGGAGCGCAGCACAAGUCGCACUCUCUAUCAGCAAAGGUCUAGCAUCCAUUAAGCCUUUUUUUCAACUUUGACCUCGAUCAGUACGA
rnacentral:rRNA from 1 species